CACGUAGGGGGCAAGCGUUGUCCGGAUUUAUUGGGCGUAAAGAGCUUGUAGGCGGUUUGUCGCGUCUGCCGUGAAAAUCCGGGGCUCAACCCCGGACUUGCGGUGGGUACGGGCAGACUAGAGUGUGGUAGGGGAGACUGGAAUUCCUGGUGUAGCGGUGAAAUGCGCAGAUAUCAGGAGGAACACCGAUGGCGAAGGCAGGUCUCUGGGCCACUACUGACGCUGAGAAGCGAAAGCGUGGGGAGCGAACAGG
rnacentral:rRNA from 1 species